rnacentral:rRNA from 1 species
GACUCUCGACAACGGAUAUCUCGGCUCUCGCAUCGAUGAAGAACGUAGCAAAAUGUGAUUCUUGGUGUGAAUUGCAGAAUCCCGUGAACCAUCGAGUCUUUGAACGUAAGUUGCGCCCAAAGCCAUUAGGCCGAGGGCACGUCUGCCUGGGCGUCA